GCGGCUCCCAGGACCUGUGUGCCCCACUGCUCAGGCCAUCUUGAAGCCAGCACUUAAGGAAUGGACCCUCCAGGGCCCACCUCCUCCAGCCCCGCCUUAUAAGACCCCAGUGAGCCUGGCGUCUGCAGCCAAGCAGGAGGCUGGAGCCAGCACUUCUCAGGGUUCAGGACGUCUGGGCAGCACAGAUGGGGCCUGGGAGCUGCCACCUGCCCUGCCAAGUGGUCACAGUUGCUGUGCAACUGAGACCAACCAGAGCCAGGAAUCUGGGCUUUCUAGGUACUUCUGGCUUCUUCCAGCGGCAAGCCAACAUCACGAGGAUGAUUGGGGCGCUGGAGUCCAAGGCUGUGCGCUCUGACAUGCUGCCCCUAGGCAGGCAUGGCUGGCGGAGCUGGAGACCACCACCCCGGGAAGGCUGGCGGUGAGGCCUUUGCCACAUUGCUGGCUUUUGCGCACCCAGAGGACAUAGCUCAGCUGAUGUCCCAGCACACUACCCACCCUCACCCCCGAUCCAGUAAUGAUCGCUCCAGGCUGCUGCUCUGGACUGAAGCGUCAGGGGACAAAUGGAGGCCUGUUGGGGAAGACAGGGGAGACUGGGGCGUGGCAACUAAGGACACUGUCCCAUUGGGUGCAACAGGGUUGGAAGAGGGGUCUGAGUGUUGCAGUCACCUCUCCAUGCCCCCCAAGGAUCGCCUUCAUCUGGGGUCUCUGUGGGGGCAGCAGGGCAUGGCUGGAUGGACCUCUUUGACUCUAGCCCGGAAUAGCCAGACAAAGGGAGGGGCUGGGGGGCCUUUGCCUGCCCUGUAGCCCUUCUGGAGCAGCAGACUAGCAUCCCCACCCCAUGUGGCCCCUUAUCCCAGGAAAGACUAGAAGAACACGCAGGGGCCAGACACCAGCCGGGAACAGCAGUGCUGUGGGGGUGCCUGGGUGUGUGGUUGAUUGGUUGAUUGGCAGAGACCAUAUUGUGGGUCGGGGAGGGGAAGUUGCCCUGGGAACCUGCUGCAGAGGUCAUCCCGGCAGGGGACUGAGCCCAGGGAAGGGGUUACAGUGGUCGUCCUUGCCUCAUGGAAGGCCAUCUCAGGGUACGGAUAACGAAGCUGGCAUUUAUUAGCACCUUCUUUGGCCAGGCCGUUUACCUACACCAUCUCAAUUUCUUCAACAACCCUGCAAGGGCGAGGCUGCAGCAGGCCCUGGCUGAGAUCUCCACUUUUCUGGACCACGGAUGCACUUGGACCAGGUAACCUCUCAAGUCUCAUCCCGCCCUGAGAUUUACGAGCCUUUGCAAGUGCCCAGCUCGGGGAAUUUCCAUUCGGCAGCUCUGCGCCAUCUGAGUGUGCAAUUUCCACCUGGUAACAUGUGACGAGGCCUGGCCGGGCAGGCCAGGCACUGGGCAGGGUGUCCCUGCCUUGGGAGCGGUGUGGAAAGGAGCCUGGAGUCAGGACAGCCUGCUUGGGCCCCCAGCACAAAUCUCAGCCCAUCAGAUAUCACUGCUCCAGGCCUGCUGGGGUCCAUUUCCAGGGCAUUUUCUAGCCUGGAAGCAGCUCUCUUUUGGGUGGGGGGCCAGUCAUUAGUCAACCCCUGAGGGCAGGAAGUGGUGCUAGUGAGGGACAGAGAGGUGAGCUGUCAUCUGAGGGGAGCGGAGGGUGAGAGGCUGGGGCCAGAACCAGCACCUCCCAGCCCCUGCUCUUCAGUGUGGGUGUUUGGAGGGGCUGGACAGGGUGGCCUGCGAGGAACCCGAGGCAGAUGCUGUGGUCCCAGAGAGCCACACAGAGACUGCCUGACACAGCUUUGCUCAGGGUGGUUAGAGGGCCCAGCUGGCCAAGGAACAGAGACUUGGUUGAGUCAGUUCCUGGGGCUGCCCUGCCCCGCCUUCCGGCCAGUCCCCUCUGGCACAGACCAGGCCCCCAGAGGCCUCGUGGGGCUGCUGGCGUCUCCCCCAGGACUGCGGAGGUGCGGCAGGCAGGCCUGAUGCCAUAGCCUUUGGUAAGCCACUGGGGGCUAAGCGCAGGGUGCCCCUGGGAGCAGCCCCACUCCGGCUCCCCCUCCAGCCCCUGGCGGCUCCCCAUCUCUGCCCUACGACUGGAAUGACACAGCAGGAAUCAUGCCCUGAAAAGCCUUCCCACCCCACCGAGGGCAGCUUCCAAGGGGCUGCUGCUGUCCUGUCCGGCCUCAGAGGACUCCUCGCCUCCCUCGGAGCAGGGCCUGGGCAGGCUGGCUCGGGGCAAAGGCCCCACAGGGCUGGCGGGAGGAGGUGCAGCUGAGUAAGGGCCCCGGGGGAGGGCGGUGGGGGGUGCCCAAAUGCCCCUGAGUGUCAGCCUCCACCGGCCUGGAGGCUCUGGUUGUGCUGGCUCGGGGUGACCUUAGCAGGCACCCUAGGCCGUCUGGGGGACCCCGGCUGUGACACCUCUCCCCUGGCGGGGGAGGGCCCGUGUGGGGCUGCUGGAGGCCUCACCUUCGCCUGCAGCUCACCCUUCCCUGGGUGCCCUGGGGGAGGUCAGAGAGUCUCGCAGGCUCUCCCGUGGGUCCCGCCCCCCGCAGGCAGGCCCAGGUGAGGGCUCCCUGGCCGGCCCCUCCUCCCUGCCUUUGUCUCUUCCUGUCCCUGGGCUUGGCCGAGGUGUGGAAGGAAGGAGCGCCACUCUCCUUCCGGGCCCUGGGCAACAGGCACUGCACGCUCUCCCCUCCGAGGACACGCCAGCAGCUCCGGCCAUGGACAGGUGGUACCUGGGGGGCAGCGCCAAGGGGAACGUGGACCCAUUCCACUAUGACUACGACACUGUCCGCAACGGGGGCCUGAUCUUCGCUGCCCUGGCCUUCAUCGUGGGACUCAUCAUCAUCCUCAAAGAAAAAUACCCAGAGACACAAACAUCUCCCUGUCCUGGGAUCGUAACACAUCCAUGGCUGGUGCCGCUCGGUCGGAAGGCUUCAGACUGCAGACACGGCUGGUCUCCCCGACGCCCUGCAAGCUCCUUGAGGACAGUCCCGUGUAGUGGUUGAGCGUGCAGGUAAAAGACUCCGCUGUGGGGCCAAGAAACCCCGGCAAGUCCUUGAAGAUGAGCUGUAAUGACGGAGUCAGCUGUGCCCACCACAGGCCUGGGCCGUUGGGAAGCCUUCCCUGAGCUGUGGACCUUUGUACCCAGCACUGCCCUUGGGCAGCAGGAAGCGCCAGGCUCCAUGUGGCUCUGGGUGGGCAUCCGGUCCUGCCACCCCAGCCGCCUCAUGCUAAUAAUAAAGCCUGCCUCACGGCUCCCUCCCAGCCUGCCUCCCUCCCUCCUCUGUCUUACCCCCACCACAACUGGCUCUUCCACGUCGGAGGGCAACGCGGCCUCUCUUGAUUUUGGAUGGUCGCUCAGGCACCCAUGCUUAUUAAAGCAAGAAGUUCAUCAUCACCA